rnacentral:rRNA from 1 species
AUUGAACGCUGGCGGCAGGCCUAACACAUGCAAGUCGAGCGGAUGAAGGGAGCUUGCUCCUGGAUUCAGCGGCGGACGGGUGAGUAAUGCCUAGGAAUCUGCCUGGUAGUGGGGGAUAACGUCCGGAAACGGGCGCUAAUACUGCAUACGUCCUGAGGGAGAAAGUGGGGGAUCUUCGGACCUCACGCUAUCAGAUGAGCCUAGGUCGGAUUAGCUAGUUGGUGGGGUAAAGGCCUACCAAGGCGACGAUCCGUAACUGGUCUGAGAGGAUGAUCAGUCACACUGGAACUGAGACACGGUCCCGACUCCUACGGGAGGCAGCAGUGGGGAAUAUUGGACAAUGGGCGAAAGCCUGAUCCAGCCAUGCCGCGUGUGUGAAGAAGGUCUUCGGAUUGUAAAGCACUUUAAGUUGGGAGGAAGGGCAGUAAGUUAAUACCUUGCUGUUUUGACGUUACCAACAGAAUAAGCACCGGCUAACUUCGUG